AUGCUUGUCUGGCAGGAGAGAGAACAUGAUAAAGAGGGUGGUUUUUCCAGGGUGAGGCUCCUCCAUUGCACUCUAGGUGUGCUGAACCCUGUGAUUUCCCCAAAUGUGGGAAACUCAACUUCAUAAUUUGUAGAAGUAGAGGACUGCAUUCAUGCUUUCCUCUA